rnacentral:piRNA from 1 species
UGGAAACAGAGGACAGGACAUCCUCA